rnacentral:tRNA from 1 species
GGCUCAGACGGUAGAGAAUCCACCUGCAAUGUGGAAGACCCAGGUUCGAUCCCUGG